rnacentral:rRNA from 1 species
CAAUAGCGUAUAUUAAAGUUGUUGCAGUUAAAAAGCUCGUAGUUGAAUUUCUGCGUAUACACGGUUUUGGCUUCGGUCAAGCCGUCGUGUGCGCAUCCGCUUGCAAACUUAGCCCUGUCUUCAUUGACAGAUUAAGGGAGUAGGCCUUUUACUUUGAAAAAAUUAGAGUGUUUCAAGCAGGCAAUGGCUCGAAUACAUUAGCAUGGAAUAAUGGAAUAGGACUUUUGUCCAUUUGGUUGGUUAUUGGACAUGAGUAAUGAUUAAAAGGGACAGUUGGGGGUAUUAGUAUUUAAUUGUCAGAGGUGAAAUUCUUGGAUUUAUUAAAGACUAACUUAUGCGAAAGCAUUUGCCAAGGAUGUUUUCAUUAAUCAAGAACGAAAGUUAGGGGAUCAAAGACGAUUAGAUACCAU